GAGCAGAUUCCUAGGACUGAAGCAGGCAUGGAGUCUCACCGCUGAAAUGGGCCUCAGCGGCUGUGGCAGGAGCCGCAGGCUUGUCAUCCAACAUUUCUUUGUACCGACGUUUGAAGAAGCCAAGCUGUGAAAUGUGGACCUCAUAAAUUGGACAUGAUGGCACAUGCCUGUAACCCUUGAAUUCAGAAGUUCAAGGCCAACCUGUGUCCAUGACACCUUCUCAGUAGACUCCAACACAGGCUGAAGACCAGUGGUUCUCCGAGGGUUCCCCCAGGACCCCAGCAUCAGAUUGAGAGUGCUGAGCUGUCAGUUUCAUGGCUGACAGCUACCAGUCCUGAGUACCGCUGCAACUACAGCUACAGCCUUCUGGUCCUCAAUCAGCCAUUGCGGGACGGUCCUGACAGCAUCCUAUAAGUUACUGUCACGGUGAGCUCCAGGGAGCUUCCCACCACCAAGAUCUGCAGGCUGAGGAGGAAGGUCAAGCCUGAAGGAGGGACUCCUUUGGAGAAAGGGGUUCUUCAUAUGGAAGGAGACAGCACUCACCCUGAGAAGUUAAAGCUGAUGCCCAGGUCCCCUUCACACAGGAGUUCUUGCUUACAGUUCUUCUCAAAUGGGAGCUGCAACAAAAUGGUUUGCUCCUCUCUCAGCCAUGGCCGAAUCAGCCUCAAACCCCCUUAUUGGACUAUUAGCAAGCCUCUGCCUCCCAGUAUCCUGAUAGACAGGAGCAAGGAAUGGCUGGAGGUUGGAAUGUGAAAUAAUGAUAACUUAAGAUCUUUGCUUCAGCACAACAAAGUCUAAUUGAAUCAAGUCCAACAUGCACCAAACCAUGAGCAGACAUUACUAAAUGCUAGCAAUAGGACAGGAUUUUUCGACUGGCAGGAAGUUUGGGGAAGGAAAAACUACUGGUGAAUUAGAUGAGGCUACAAUGCUCAAGAAUGUGUGAUCUGGGGCAGUCACUCUGAUAGGAUGGUCAUAGCAGACUUAGGAGCCAGAGGACAAGUGGGAACUGGGAGGUCCUGAGUGUGCUCAGAGGAGAUCAGGUGGUCACUGUCUUUGGACAGAAAGAAGGAAAUGUUUUUCAAGUGAAAAUUACAGCAGAUGAAAGGAGAAAAGAGGUACAGUGUGCAGUUAUGUGCAAGGGGACCAGCUGGGCCAGGCGUAAGUAGCUAAGGGGAUGCAUUUUGGAUUUGUUGCCAGUGGUGAACAAUUAGGAUCUGUUGUGGGUUCAAAAGCACAGAAAAGCAUAAUUAAACUGGGAUUUUAUUGGACAACUACUCACAGAAGCCGUCAUGUGGUCUUGUGAGCCUGCAGCCAGCACAGGACGAAGAUUCCUGGAAGAGUCGGCCACCAGGGAGAAGUUGAGACGCAGGAUGAUAGGGCUUACCACGUCCUCCACACAGUCCUGAGAAAGAGGGAACUUUGAAAAACCACCACCCUUUUCCUUCCCAUCACUGGGCUCCCCCUCUGCACCCAGGCAGUGCCACAUCCGGGCUGAGGGGCCAGGAUGCACUCCCAGCCCUUCUCUCCGGUUUUGAUACCCUGUCUCUGCCCACUUCACACAGUAGAGAUCAAGGACCCGACAAGCUAGUCUUGGCUCUUUUCCCCUUCCCCCAAACCCCUCUCCCUCACCCUUCCCCACGCCCUCCCGCACUUUCCCUCACUGAAAACCCUCACUGGCAAAAGCAGCUUCAUCAUUUCACAGUGAUCACCAAGCCCCAGAGUCUUUCUUCGAGACAAAGUCCAGCUCUUGGUCUCAUCAAAAACAGCACGAGAAAUCUGACGGCCUGGAUCCAAGACCAAAUCAUACCUCACAGAGCUUUGGAUAUCACCUGAAGUGAAAAGGAAAAGAAAAAUGCAAAAGCAAAGAAACUCAAUUUCCGCUUCCAUUUCGUUGUUUACAAGUGUUGAGCACUUCCAUGACAUCACCAAGCCUGGGAAAUACACAUGGAGACAAGGAUGGAUGGAUGGAUAGAUGAUGAUGAUAGACAGACAGACAGACAGACAGACAGACAGACAGGCAGGCAGGCAGGCAGGCAGGCAGGCAGGCAGGCAGGCAGGCAGGCAGACAGACCCACUCUUCACUUAUGAAUCUCAAUCUAGUAAAGGAGCUAAACUCAUGGACUGUGAAUGAAACCUGGAGGAAAAGAAAAGAAUGUCUCCAAGUUUUGGUAUUCCUACGACUUGGGGAGAUAGAGGUCGGCACACUCAUAGAAGUACAUGGGGGACAACGGGUGGAAUGAGGUGUGACAGAAGAUUCAAGGGGAACCAAAGCAGAAUGGAGUUGCAGGAAAGGAUUGGAGUCUCCAUAAUUUUAAGAUGAAGCAGUUUAAUGGUGUUAGGGGUUGCUGUGAGGAGCCUAGUUUCGAAUUUUGGGAUCCAUCAAGUAUAGUUUCUCACUGGACAAUGGGUGAGGGUGAAUAGGGAUAGGUGUGAGGUUCAAUGAGAGAGUCUUUGCUUCGGUGUAGGUAUCAGAGAUGUGGUAUCUUAAGCAGGGACAGAGGCUAAGGUAGGGAGGAGAGGAGACGGCCUGGGUGCAUGAAGAAGAGAAAGGAAAGAACUCAGUCAGGUCUCUGACUCAGGAAGCUCAGGAAAGAUCAAGAGAUUUAUGUUCCUGGGAUUGCUCUGCCUCUGAUGGAGCGUUUCUGCUCCCAAUUUUAGAAAAACACUCACCUAACUGGUCAUGGGAGCCUUUGUGGAUAGUGAGACAGACGGUGGCCUCCCCAGCUUCAAGGGCAGUGGGAUUCCUUUUCCAGCAUUGGUACACAGCCUUUGCCACCUUCACAGGGACAAAUCUUAUGGCAAUCCCCACUUUCAGCAAAGGCAGGCUCCUGGGGACAUAGACAAGGGUUAAGGACCUGACACUGAUCUCUGGGAGAAGGACCAGCACAAGUGACUUGGACAACAUGGACAAGGGUGGGAUGUGGGUGAGUUCUCACCUAAGCAACAGCACGUGUCCCUGGGCUCCCACAGCCAGGUCCACCAGGCCGUCCUGGGUAAGGUCCUGACCCCCACUUAGUGACUGCCCAAAAUAUUGGAGCCUCAGGCAGAGCUGGGAGCCAGUGAUCCGCUGAUCAGGAAGAGAAAAGAAAAGAAAAACCAAUAGAUGGUGAUAUUCAGGGAUUGUGAAAGGGGAAAUGGAGAGUUAGGAGUUGAAAGUUAGCAGUGUGAGGGUCUUAGGAGACUCUCAGAAAGAGAGAAGGGACCCCUUCCAAGUCCAGCUUGCCCCGACAAUAUGCACAGCAGUGAAGUAAAAACAGAGCCAUAGGAUUAAAACAGACUUAUUUGUUCAUCAUUUGUGUGAUCAUCUGGAAAAUUAGUGGUACAUGGAGUACUUCGGGCACUCUCUGUUUUAUUUUUACAGGGAGGAGUUGUCUUGAUCAUUUCUGUUUCAUGGGGGAAAAAAAACUAAAGCUGGAAGAAUCUAGGUCAGCCAUUUAGACAAAGAACACAAAGCAAAUGAUGGCUGCUGCUGUUGCGGGGAUUUGACUCAAGAGUUUAAGUUCCAUGCUUAGUCUCUUAGUGGGAAAGCUAUCCACAACAGAGCAGAGGCUGUGUUGAUGCACCUGUGCUUGGUGCUUAGUUCAGAGGGACAAUAGACUACUCAGAAGCUGUGAAAAGCAGCAGCUGCCAUAGCCAGCAACCGGAGGCUGCAUUUACCCAACGAAAGACAUGGAAAGGGGAAGGAACUAGAAGAGACUGACGGCAAGGCCUCACCUGGCUGGGCGAGGGGCUGAUGUCCAGUUUUGAGGCUCCAUGAAAUACAUACACAGCACCCCUGUUCUCUUCCUCUCCAGGUGCACCAAUAGCCACAUCUGUCACACUGUCCCCAUUCACGUCACCUAGCACUGUCAGGGCCACCCCAAAGCGGCCCCAAGGAUGGCCCUGCUCCCCGUGCAGAGUGGCCUCACACUGCCACCUGAUUCUCUGCAGAGCAAAGUCAGUGUCAGACCCACCCUGGGCGGCCCUCCACCCGUACCCACAAACCGCCAGCCAGGACCCUUCACCACUUACCCCACUGGGCAUGGGGCACACAGACACCUGCCCCCCUCGGGUCUGCUCAUAGUAAUGGGGGGCCCCGACCAGGACCAGGUCAGUGCUGCCAUCUCCAUCCAUGUCCACAGAGCAGAGGGAGGCCCCAAAGUACGAGCCGAUCUGGUGGGCCGAGUUUGAAGUCAUCUUAUAGAUGCCCCUCUGCCUCUCUCCCAGUACCACAGCCUCCCCUAUGGGUCCCAAAGCCCCUUCAUCUCCUCCUUCUCCAUCCUGACCACACUGCUCACUCUCAAACUCCACUCUGGCUUCUUCCAUACCAACCUGAGUUCCACUGACUUCAAACUUGGGCUUCCAUUGCCUGGAUUCCUGGGUAAAGAUGACAACCUUCCCUGUGUGCUGGUGUCGAGGGGCCCCCAGGACCAGGCUGUAGACCCCCUUCCAAAAGGCCAGUGCGGUGGAGUAACCUGAGGGACCCAGACCUCAGCACCAAGCCUCUUCCUGUCUUCGGGCAGCUCUUCCCGCCCCUUCUCCUCCCACAGCCUCUUCUUACCCAGGUAAGCAUCCCUCAUGUCCACAUUCUCCUGAGACAUGUUGAUGAAGGUGGGUCUCGUAUUUGGGGGGUAUAAGAAGGCACCUCCAGACCAGCCGAAGCUUCCCACAGCUCCCAGAACUGGUCCAUCCUGGGAGGAAAGGAUGCCAGGGUUGAGCAGACUGGAGCAGGCUGGCAGUCUGAUCCAAAGAAGCCUGCUCCCAAACACCAUCUCGACUUCCCUUCCUCCUAGUUUUCAGUAGCUGUCUCUGCACCUUAGCCUCUGGGUCUCUGGAUACAUUGCCCUUGCCCUUGUCAGCUCUGCUUCCUUCCUGCCUGUUCUGCCUCUGAGGUCCCUGCAUCGGUCUCUACCUUCUUCCAUCCCAGCACCAGGCCUCCUCAAACCUAACAUGUAGGUGGCACUGUGCUAGGAACCAUCACUGGUCCCUUGGAAUGUUCAUCUGGGUCACUUCUCAAUUGAACCCGGGCAGUUAAUCUCUGCUCCCAAACACAGGGGACCUUUCUUCUGGCCACCUCUCAGCUCCUGUAUGACAAAGGCAAUCUUGUCACAUCCUUGUGAGGUCUUUGUCCGUACCCUCAGGCAGCAAUACUUCAUGCACCCCUGCAUGCCUUAUUUGUCUUUAUACUUUUACACUUCUGAUUGUGCAGAAUGGUAGAGAUAUAGAAACACCAAAAGAAAUGUUUAAUGACCCUCCAAGGAGAACCGUUGACACAGAUCCAGUGACCAGUUCAAACCCAGUCUGGUCAUUUCUUCCACACCCUACUCAGCCCCCAGUUAUCAGAAGAAAAUCUCUGUAGAUGCUCUGGGCAUACAACAGCUUUCAAACAGGUCCCGCUGCACUGUUUUUCCCCCUCUGGCCCCUGUGGUCUGGGCCCUCCUACCCCUCCAGCUGCUCAUUGUCCCGCUCACUCUGCCCCUGCUGUGUCCACCUUAUUUUUCUCUUUUUCUAGCACCACGGUUUUAUUCCUUCCCCAGAACCAUUUCAGUAGCGUUUUCCUCUAACCGCGGUAAUGGUUCUUCAGAUUUCCCCGGGGCCGCCCUUCCUCAUCACCACCUUCUGACCAUCUUCCUUUUUCUAUCCCGAUGGCCAUGGGAGUCAGAGGAUGCUUUGUGUGAGAUCUCUACCCACUGGGAUGCAUGCUCCAUGGAAGUUCAAGCUUUGGCCGUCACCUGCUCUUCUUUGUCCCCAGCACCCUAAGAAUCAUGGGUGACACUCCUCACUCAGUUAGAGGACUUAAGAACAAAUCUGCUCCUGGUCCCUUCUGAGCCUUACCCCGCCCACAGCAGGCCCAGAGUUGAUGUCUGUUGAUCAAGGGUACGUUCCACCCACCAUUGUGAGAGCCGAACUGAAACCUUCUUGCGACAUCUCGUGCUGAAAGGAAGUACUUGUCCCUGAUUGAGUUCCUGUGGGAAAACAUGUCACUUAAAUUCUCCAAAGCUAUGAGACCAUGGGGACUCAGAACAGAGGGAAUGGGGUCUGGGCCCUGAGCUCUAGGGGGCAUUUUUGGGGUGGCUUGUGAAUAAGGAUGAACAUCAAGACUACAGGGGACAACUUGUAGCAAUCCCUUAAACUCCAAGGCAGGAGCUUCUUCCCACUUACCCUCGAUGGCAAAGAUUUUCUCCUGAAGCUGUUUCUGGAUGCUACCAAGCGCUACAAAGUUGUCCACCUUGAAAACGUGGUCCUGUGGGGGAGCUGAGCCAAUGGUGUUCAGCUCCUGCAGUGCACUGGGUUCCUGGAAGGCAUCUCCCACCUGCGGCAGAGUAGAAAUCCACUGAACCUUCACUGGAGGGAGAGAAGGCUGGAUCUGAGGGGCAAGGAGGAAGGAACUGUACCCCAAUAGCAUAGCGAGUGAUGUUAGCUUUCUCUGCCUGGGGGAUGACAUCACUGUACGUCAGGGGGUCUCUAUAUUUCUGCCCAUCUGUGAUGACAAUUAGGAUCUUCUUGGCAUUUUUGCGAGCCCCAUUCUUGCUAUGAAACAGCUCUUCCCUGUCAGAGAAUAAAGAGAAAUGACUUUUGAGACAUAAGUGACUCUGGAAAGACAAUUUGCAAAGGCUGAAACUCAUCUGGAUAUGUUAGAAAGACCAUAUUGGGGAUGCUAUAGGAUUAUCCAGAGUUGGUAAUGGUGAUGCAGGUCCACAGUCCCAGGCUAAAGGAGAGGAAGGAGCAUGAGUUCUGGCCUGGCUAGGCUACAUCGUGAGAUCUUGGACACACACACCCUCACCCUGCCUCUCACACCUAUCCCUUUAUCUCUUACCCAUGCCUCUAACACCCCCACCCAAUAAAAGGGAAGAAAGGAAGGAAAAGAUAAAGGUCUCCCUUUUGGAGUGCUAUCCUAGAGCACAGAAAAUAACAAAGGUGUUCAUAUUAGGUAUUUACUAAAGUCUCUCUACCACUGAACUUCACUCCUAGGAGGCAGUAUGGUCGGGCAGCUUUGGAGUCAGAUAUCCCUUGUAUGUGCAGCCUGGCCUCUCUGAGCCUCCGAUUCUCUCAAGUAAACUGAUAGUGACUGUGCUGUAACCAUGUUCUAAAAAUGGCUCAGAUGGCUCUUCUCCUGGCCUGGCCUGUGACUCACUUUCAUCCAUAGCAAUGCAGUGGCUUAUUUUUUGUUUGUUUUUGGGUUUUUGUUUGUUUGUUUGUUUUUUCCGAGACAGGGUUUCUCUGUAUUGUUUUGGAGGCUGUUGGUCCAGCCCAGCCUUGAACUCACAGAGAUCCGCCUGCCUCUACCUCCCGAGUGCCGGGAAUAAAGGUGUGCGCCACCAACGCCUGGCUCAAUGGCUUAUUUUUGCACUGUCAUCUCUCAUCACAGAUUUAGAUGCAUGGCUACACUUUCAAGCCACAGUGAGAGAAGCCUGGCUACUCUGCUAGAGGUACCAGGAGCAGUCCAUGGAAAGAGACCACGUGUAGACACAAGUCUAACCAUCCCAGCUGAGCCCAUUCCCUCCAGCCAGUCCUCAUGAGCACCAGGUGUAUGAAGGAACUCUCUGGGUUCUGACUAUAUGAAGGACAUCUACAAAAACAGCUGGAUCUGCCAUCCUCCCCUGGAUUAGGAAAAAAGAGUAUAUGUUGUUGAAGCCACCAGAUUUGAUGACUGAAUCAAAUGGGACUUGGUUAUUGGAAAGAUUCCACGGCAGUGAAUGGCCUGUGGGUGAGUGCUUGUCAGGUGGUAGCUCUAACAAAUGCUUAAGAUGUAUAUAACUGUGUACCCUCAACACUCAAGUCCAGAACAUACCAAACACCUGCCAAAUAUAAUUGCCCAACAUUAGGGAGGGAAUUCAACGAAUCUAACUCAGCUUCAUCAGCUCCUUUGUUGAAAAGUAAAAGUCAAAACUAUAGCAAAAUAUGGAAGAUGCUGUAAAUUUAAGAUUUCCUUCAGAAAUAGAGAAAAAUCUAUGUUUGCCCUGUUGUGACCAUAUACCAUCAGUCUGCAAAAAGGCAAGUGAUAGAAUUUGGACUGUGUCGGGCAGGUUGAAUUUAUUGAUUCAUUUGAAUGUACCACUUUUCCUUUCUAAUAUUAUAUAUGGUAGAAUGUCUAGAGGGGUUAUGGGUAACCCUUAAUCCUGUAAUGUUCCCACUGUUUUGGGCCUUGUGAGUUGUUGUUUGACAUAAGAUCUUAUGAAUUACAAGCUGAACUUGUCUCAGGUAACCCAAGCUGAUCUCAAAAUCAGCCUAGGAUAACUGUGAUCUUUUCUCCCAAGUGCUAGGACUAGAGGGGUUUCACUCCCUAUUAAACACUAAGACUAAGACACAU